rnacentral:rRNA from 1 species
UACGAAGGGGGCGAGCGUUGUUCGGAUUUACUGGGCGUAAAGCGCACGUAGGCGGCUUGGUAUGUCGGGUGUGAAAUCCCCCGGGCUCAACCUGGGAACUGCAUCCGAAACUGCCUUGCUCGAGUAUGGGAGAGGGAAGUGGAAUUUCCGGUGUAGCGGUGAAAUGCGUAGAUAUCGGAAGGAACAUCAGUGGCGAAGGCGACUUCCUGGACCAAUACUGACGCUCAGGUGCGAAAGCGUGGGGGAGCAAACAGGG